CAAAUUUCUGCCCUAUCAACUUUCGAUGGUAGGAUAGUGGCCUACCAUGGUUUCAACGGGUAACGGGGAAUUAGGGUUCUAUUCCGGAGAGGGAGCCUGAGAAACGGCUACCACAUCCAAGGAAGGCAGCAGGCGCGCAAAUUACCCAAUCCCGACACGGGGAGGUAGUGACAAUAAAUACUGAUAUAGGGCUCUUUUGGGUCUUGUAAUUGGAAUGAGUACAAUUUAAAUCCCUUAACGAGGAACAAUUGGAGGGCAAGUCUGGUGCCAGCAGCCGCGGUAAUUCCAGCUCCAAUAGCGUAUAUUAAAGUUGUUGCAGUUAAAAAGCUCGUAGUUGAACUUCAGAUCUGGUUGAGUGGUCCGCCUAACGGUGUGUUACUGCUUGACUGGGUCUUGUCUCUUGGUGAACCGUUGUGUCCUUUAUUGGAUGCUUCGGGGAACCAGGACUUUUACCUUGAGAAAAUCAGAGUGUUCAAAGCAGGCCUAUGCCCGAAUACAUUAGCAUGGACAUAAUAGAAUAGGACGUGUGGU
rnacentral:rRNA from 1 species